AGCAGCCGCGGUAAUUCCAGCUCCAAUAGCGUAUAUUAAAGUUGUUGCAGUUAAAAAGCUCGUAGUUGAAUUUCGAGACCGGUUUAUUGGUCGUGCUUUUGUACGUACUGGUAUUAUUGGUUUCUCCUUUCUGACGAAUCUUAAUGCCAUUAAUUUGGUGUUUUGGGGAAUCAGGACUGUUACUUUGAAAAAAUUAGAGUGUUUAAAGCAGGCUCACGCUUGAAUACAUUAGCAUGGAAUAACGGAAUAGGACGUUUGAUUCUAUUUUGUUGGUUUCUAGGAUCGACGUAAUGAUUAAUAGGGAUAGUUGGGGGCAUUAGUAUUCAAUUGUCAGAGGUGAAAUUCUUGGAUUUAUUGAAGACUAACUACUGCGAAAGCAUUUGCCAAGGAUGUUUUCAUUAAUCAAGAACGAAAGUUAGGGGAUCGAAGACGAUCAGAUACCGUCGUAGUCUUAACCAUAAACUAUGCCGACUAGGGAUCGGAUGAUGUUAAUUUUUUAAUGACUCAUUCGGCGCCUUAC
rnacentral:misc_RNA from 1 species